rnacentral:snRNA from 1 species
GUCUCUUCAAAAACAUUCAAUAAAAUUAGAACGAUAUAGUGAAGAUUAGCACGGCCGUUACACAAGGAUGACAUGCAAAAAUCAAGAAAUUUUUACCAUUAUA